AAUUAAAAAAAACUCUUAAAACAAAUUGACAGAUUUUUCCUCUAAAAACCAAAAAUUUCAAUUCAAAAAUUUCAAUGCACUAAAAGAAAAUUCAGAGAAUCAAAACAAAGUUGAAUGCAUAUGUUGAGGGGGAGAAUCUGAAUUUUUAAGCAAAAUCAUUAAAUAUAUAUAAGCCAAACAAUUGAUUGCAUGAUAUGAAGGCUUAUAUAAUUCCAAAUGAAAGGGAAAGUUUUAACUCCAAAAUUUAUUGUUUCACAUCUUUCAAGUUUGGAUAAAUUAAAAAACCAGACACUUGAAUUCAUUUAUAGAUUUCAUUUCCUUGUUUAUUGAGCAAUUCACUUUACAUAUACUCAAUGUUUUGUCAUCAUCAAAAAGGGGGAGAUUGUGGAGUGAUUGAUUAUUGUUGACCCCCUAAUAGAUUUUGAUGAAUACAAAACACUAGAGUAAAAUUCCAUUAUAUCUUAACAAUUUAAUUGAGGAAUUCAUGUGUCUUAUUAAGAAUAUUGUUAAGAAAUGU
rnacentral:lncRNA from 1 species